rnacentral:lncRNA from 1 species
CCAAAAUGAAACACAUCCAUGCAUCGUAUGAACAAUUAAAUAAUGUCUUGUGCCUUAUAGCACUACAACACACACUAUUAACAAAUACUUGCGUGUGGGAUCAGGAAUCCCAUUCGAGCUUUGUAGCGAGCAAAUAGCGGCAUUUUACUGGCUUCAAGGGGGCUCUUUCAUGCCGUCGUUGGGCAUAGUGUUGUCACCAAACAACCUCUGUUAUUGCAGUCGUCGGUCUCCUAGUUCUCUUCCAUCUACGUUCUCGGUAAUCAGCCAUAAGGAAUUAGGGUUGCACUUGCUCU